ensembl:lncRNA
AAACAAUGUCGGACUCCGUAAUUUUCUCUGGUCCCUUACCAAAUCUGACCAGUGAUGACAUGUAUAGCCGCAUGUCAUCAUUUAACCGCUGGCUAUCGAGGUGGUGUCCAGAAAACGAGGUGGGCUUCAUUGAUAAUUGGAGAUCCUUCUGGGGAAAACCGAACCUGAUAGGAAGAGAUGGAAUCCAUCCUACUUUGGAGGGAGCAUCUCUACUAUCAGAAAACAUGGCACAUUUAUGACAUCUCAUGAAUGAGACCAUGUUACAGAGGGGGAGUCCUCCACGCCCCUCUGCGCUUGCCUUAGGACAGUUUCCCUCCCAUUGCUAUCAGGAUAACUGUGUUCAUCGCCAUGACAACUGUUGUGAUGGUGAUGAAUAUUAUUUUAUGGAGACGGUGUCAGUCCCCCGACCCAUAUUUCACAAUGAUUUUAACAUAAAAUCAAAUAAAAGAGCUAUCAAUUAUAAAAAUCUGAAAAAAAUUAAAAUCUCAAAUCUAGAAACACCAAAACAUAAAACCAUUAGAUGUGCUCUAUUAAAUAUUAGAUCACUGAGAUCCAAAUCUCUACUAGUAAAUGACCUUAUCUCAGAAAAUAACCUUGAUUUAUUCUGUUUAACUGAAACAUGGCUGUAUCAAGAUGAAUAUGUUAGUUUAAAUGAAGCCACUCCUCCCAGUCAUUUAAAUACUCAUAUGCCACGAGACAUAGGCCGUGGAGGUGGUGUAGCAGCUAUUUAUCAUUCCUCUCUCCUAAUCUAUCCUAAACCAAAGGCCAGUUACACUUCCUUUGAAAGCCUGGUUCUAAAUUUAUCUCAUAUCGAAUCAAAAACCUGCCAGCCAGUCUUAUUUGCGAUAAUUUACCGUCCUCCAGGCCCUUAUUCUGAAUUUCUAUCAGAAUUCUCUGAGUUUAUAUCAAACUUAGUCCUCAGUUCUGAUAAAAUACUGAUAGUAGGAGAUUUUAAUAUCCAUGUGGACAAAGAUAGUGAUAGCCUGAGCUCAGCCUUUAUGUCCCUAAUAGACUCAGUUGGCUUUUUUCAAACUAUUAAUGAAGCUACUCAUCGUUUAAAUCAUACUCUUGAUCUUGUUCUAACAUAUGGCCUUGAUAUUAAUGAACUAAAAGUCUACCCUGAAAAUCCUCUGCUAUCAGAUCACUUUUUAAUAUCUUUUAACAUUAUCCUAGAGGAUCUCGCACUGUGCAAUAAAAUAGUUACAAGUAGAAAUCUAUCCAACAGUGCUGUGGCUAAAUUUAAAGAGGCCAUUCCUGCUGCCUUAAACUCAGUGCACCAUCCAAUAAAUAACUAUGAUAUUAAUUAUAACCCCUCUCAACUGGAUCUGCUUGUCGAUAGCUCUGCUAGUCUACUAAAAUCCACCUUGGACUCAAUUGCCCCAUUGAGGGAAAAAACUAUUAAACGUCAGAGGAAAGCUCCGUGGUUUAGCUCUGAAACUCACACACUCAAACAAACAACCCGUAAAUUAGAGAGAAUGUGGCGCUCCAAUAAAACAGAGGAGUCACGAAUACUUUGGCAAGAAAGCCAUAGUAAAUACAUGACAGCCUUACGACAUAGUCGAUCUACAUACUAUUCCUCACUAAUUGAAGAAAAUAAAAAUAAUCCGAGGUACCUUUUCAGCACUGUAGCCAGGCUAACACAAAGUCAGAGCUCUAUUGAGCCCAUGAUUCCUCUAGCCCUCAGCUGUGAGGACUUUAUGACAUUUUUUAACGAUAAAAUUCACAAGAUUAGAGAUAAAAUUAGCCACUCCCUGCCUUCACCUGGGCCUGCUGUACCAUUAAAUGUAAAUAGGCCUAACCUAAACUGUUUCACACAUAUAGGACUUCAGGAACUUAACUCUAUUAUUUCAUCCUCCAAACCAUCGACCUGCCUUUCAGAUCCGAUCCCAACUAAGCUGUUUAAAGAAGUUAUUCCCCUAGUCUGCCCAUCUUUGUUGGAGACAAUAAAUAUAUCCC